AAGUGUGGAAGAAGGAAGCCUAAGGGAGAUUUGGCAGAGGUAGACGAGUUGAGCCAACUGCUUAAGGAUCAGAUCAUAUCGGGGCAGACCACAUCAAACCGGAUGAAACUAGGUCAGGUUGAAUCAAACCAGACUGAGACCAGAUCAGAACGGAGCAGACCAGACUGAUUGUGACGAUACCAGGCCCAUCCAGGAGGCCUGUUCCAGUUUCCUAUUCAGUUGAGGGCUCACGAGUGGAUGGAAGGAGAUGAUUUUAAUACAGAGGCUGUGAUGAACAUCUGUGGUGAGUGUGACACGUGAAACGUCAAAUCUUUUACCUGAAUUUCUGCUCACCAAGUGAUGCAGUCAGUACAGA
ensembl:lncRNA